rnacentral:lncRNA from 1 species
GAGAGAGAGGCAGAGACACAGGCAGAGGGAGAAGCAGGCUCCACACAGGGAGCCUGAUGUGGGACUCGAUCCUGAGACUCCAGGAUCAGGCCCUGGGCUGAAGGCAGGCGCUAAACCACUGAGCCACCCAGAGAUCCCUCUUCUCAGAUCAUUAAAUAAAUAAGUGCCAAAACAGAAAACCAAUGAACUAAAUGAUAGAAUUUAUAUGGCUAAAGACUCAUUCAGUAGGCUGCAAAAUUUAAAUCUUCAGAACAUAUAGAAAAAACAAAGAGAAGGAAAAUAUGAAAGACAUGAAGAAUUGAUUCCAAGAGGUCCUAAACCCAUCUAUUGGAGUUCUCUGUGAAGACUGCUUAAAUGUUAAUGGGGAGAAAAUAUCCUGAGCCUGAGCAGACUUCAGGUCACAAAGAUCAACAAAAAAAGAUUCAUGGUAAAAGAUCAUUGGUGAAAUAUCAGAGCUAAGGAUAAAGUGAAAAUUCCCAAAAGCCUCAAAGAGGUAAACAGAGAGAUAUACAAUCAACCAAGUUAUAAGAAUCAGUCCAGCACCAGACUUAUCGGCUACACUAGAUUGUAGGUAUCCAAGGGGCAAUGUCUUCGAAGUAGAAGAACUAUCAUUUUGAAUCUAGACUGAAAUUAUCAAUCAAGUGUGAAAGCAAAAUCAGACAUUUUCAAACAUGCAGUAACAGAGCUUAUCAUCCAUGCAUAUUGUAUACAAAAAGCUACUCCAAGGAAUAGUCUACAAAACAAAGAUGGGAAUCGAAGGAACAGGACGACAUGGCAUGAAAAAAAUAAUAGGAGCCGAAUAUAAUCCCAAAGUAGAGGAGUGUAUAAAUGAAGCUGUUGGAAAAAUCUCUUUCAAGCAGCAAAAUUCAGUGAGCCAGGAUGGAAUUUCAUUCUCUAUAGAUCUGACUAUAUUACUUGACUACACAGUGAAUAUUUGAAUAUUGGCUUUCAAGUGUUAGAAAUCAUCCAUAGACAAAAUAAACAUUCAUAGUUAGGUUGUAAACAAUAAGUACAACAGAAGUAUUAAACCAUGAUACCAUAAAAACAAUUACAGUCUGACACGCUAGGAGGUUAUAGUUAGGGGCUGACCCUUCUGACACCGAGGGGGUUCCCGGGCAUGGGACUUCCAGUGUCCAAACUGGGAAAGUCCUGGGUAAACCAGGACUAGUUUGUCACCUUAGUCAGGGUGGAGAAGAGGUGAGUGAAAGACGCUAACAUCCCCAUUUUGCAGAGCCAAGGCUCAACAGAGGCUCUAGAAAAGAAAUAAGUUGGUGACAACCAGCAUCAAUAUAGCAACUGUUAGCAGUGGCUGAACUUGCAAAUGAGGUUUUUAUGUUUGAUUUCAACCCCUUGCAAAUGAUUUAGAUUUUUAAAACAAGACAUCCAUUUAGAGUUGAAUAGGCCAAGACUUAUUCAUGAGGCAUCUAACAAAGAGAAUGUUUUAAAGUGAGCAAUACCUAAGGCCGCAGACAUGGGGAGCUAACUAAAAAAUGAUCAAGCAAGAGAUUUUUAUUCAAACUGUGAUUUGAAAGCAAGAGUAUAAACAAAACUGAGGACAGGAAGAUCUCCCUUGUUCAGAAGCAGUGCCUGUAUUCUUUGUGAAGUAUGGAUGGUCACAAGAAAGGACGGGGGAAGAAGUCUUUAGUGAAUCAGAAAAAGGAGACCAAGUGAGUCCAGUUAAUCACAUAACAGGCCAGUAGAAAUCACACGAUCACAGCUGCUGCUAGGCAAACCUGAGUGGUUGGGCCCCUCCACCUAAAAGCUGCUCAAAAGACAUUCUCUAUGACUACUUAAGGAUGUUAUAUAUCACAUUAAGAAAAAAAAGCCUGAAUGACAUACCAUGAUCUGGUUGUUUUAUGCCAAACUGUUACUCACACAAAAAAUUCAAGGGCACCUGGGUGGCUUGGUCGGUUAAGGGUUUGCCUUCAGCUCAGAUCAUGAUCUCCGGAUCCUGGAUGGAGUAGGCUCUGGGGCUCAGUGGGGAGUCUGUUUCUCCCUCUCCCUCUGCCUCUCUUCACCUCCUUGCGCUCUCUCCCUCUCAAAUAAACAAAUAAAAUCUUUAAAAAUAAUUCAAAAUAGGGCUUCUUUUCAUGAGCAUUAACACUUUGAAGUCUGUCUAAUGACUCUGAAGAGGGAUUUGUAUCUAUAGAUUUUUUUUGUCUUUAAAGAGAACCCAAAUCUUAGGUAUGCUGAAGCCAAUUAUUUACACAGGAAGCUAUUGACUUAUCUACAAAGGAUAACACAACCCUGAAAGACAAUGAUUGUUUCAUUCCCUUCAACUUAAGAAUGCCCUCUGUUAACACCUCAAAGACACAUUAUUUUAAAUUUAAAAUGGAAAAAGCCCAUAGUCUUGCCUUCUAUAAGUCACAAACUACCAAGCACAUAAUCAAAAUCCAUUAUGAGCGUCAUCCAGUACACAGAACUAGGGCCCAGGAUGCAUUUAACACCUUACUGGGUAUCUUGCCAAAUCACCUCACAUUUAUCAAGUUUCCUUAUUUCAAGAUUCACUUGACAUUUUAAAAACAUACCUGAAAUCAGGAUGUGGCUUAUAAUCAACAACAUUUAACGUGUCUGGGUUUACUUAGGCUCCCUGAUGCUGUUCAAUCAAUUGAGUAUUUUAAAAAUCCAGAGUGCAGAAACUGAGAAAAUGCAAAAAUAUCCCACCCAUAACUCACUGGAAACGUGUCUGAACCCAGGAAAGAAACAUAAAAAUAUUUAGCUCCAGAUAAGCUGAAAUGUUGGUUGUAUAAGUGAAGACAACUAAGAUUAGAAAUAUUAAAAAGGACAAAAUCAGACCUAAAUAGGCAUAUUUUCCAAUUCUUGUGAACUAUAAAUUAUAUAUAGUGAAUCCACUAAUUCCAGCAAAAAAAAAAACAGAACCAUGAUUGCUCAACUAGGUCCACCCAUAGCUUUUACAUUUAUUUUAAUUACAAGACUCUUAAAAUGCUCGUUCAAUUAUUUCAGGGCAUUAAAAAUAUUUCAAUAUCAUUUAUCAAAAGUGAAAUUUGCAGUGCAUAAGUCUCUACAACUCCCCAAAACAAAAAAUAUAUAUAUAUUUUAAAGCAGCGAAAGCUGUAAUUCACUCGCACUCCAGGAAGCAAAUUGAAAUGUACUGGAGUAAAUGUAAUGAAAUAAUGUAAAACAUUUGUGUGAAAUUCAAAGUAUUCUGUUAUAAAUCCUUCAUGUGUAGGGAGCAUAUCUGUCCACAUAUUCAUUUCCUUCCAUUUUCAGUGACAGCUCUAUUGAAUAUUCAAAUUAAACGGGAUUGAGAACUAAUUAUUUUUCCAGAGGAAGAGUCACUCAACCACUUUAAAACUUGGGUUGUUUUAAGUAUCUUCAUCCAAAAAAAAAUUGUCCUAAUUCUUCUGGGAAGAAUAACAUCCCAUAAAUUCCUACCCACCCCUGCCCCUGAAGUCAGUUACAAAUCACAGCCUUGUAAUUCUCAGGAAAAGACACUGGUGUUUGUAAUAAUCCCAAAGCACGGAAAUGACGAUGUACCUCCAAGCACUCACUGUAUUCUCUACAAAAUAAAGAUUUAUUGUUCGACUGCUUGAUCACUUUAGUGGGUUUUCUUCCCGAAUUAGGCUUUGAAUCUGGAAUUGAAAGUUAAAAUUUUCCAUAUGUCUGAAUUUAAACCACUUGAUCUAGUCAUGGAAAAACUGAUUUACUAUUUCAGUUAAGAUAUUUUAAAGGUUUAUUUCUAUUCACUUUAUUUUAUAUAUAUAUAUACACAUAAAUCUUUUAUAUAUAUUUUUAUAUAUAUUUUUAUAUAUAUAUAUAUAUUUUUUUUUUUUUUUAAGUUUUAUCUCAAAGCUAAGUUUCAGGCUUCCAUGCAGUCUUCAAGUUAGUCUUGAAUGUGGUUCAAUGAUAGAAAUCAACAUGGCAACGGAUAACGAACCAAGGGUAUAUUAUGUGCUUUAUGCUUUAUUUUAUUUUAUUAUGUGCUUUAUGCAUCCUAUAUCUUUUCUCUCCAGCAAUUGUUUAAAAUGUCUCCAAAUCCAACAAGCUUUCCUAGACUCCCCUGGGCUACAUAUUUUCCCUAUACUACUUAUGCUCCAGCACUCAUGCAGCCGCUGGAUCACACGCUUUGUUUUAAAAGACAUGUAGGUUAGUUGACCCUUGCUCCUAAGUCACAUGAGAAACCAGUCUGAUCGUCUCUCAUGCCUUCUCUUUACUCAUGGCCCUCUGCAUGUAAGUAGUACCCCACACACUGACCAGCACGUAGUAGGUCAUCCAUUUUUGAGUGGGUGAGUACAUAUUUUAGCCAUCAACCUGCAUUCAGCACAAUCUUUGAUUCUCAGUGGGAGAAAAAAAAAAGCCAAAUUG